GCCUCUUAAAAAGAGCAUCAGCAAGGAACUGAACAUUAUUUGACUCUGGAUAAAUAGUAUAUUUCAAAUUCCUUUUACUUUUCCCCAAUUGUGGCUGCCUUGGUCAGCUCUAAGGCAAAGGAGAGGAAUAAAAUGUUCCCCAUAAAUGCAAAUAUUUUAUCCCACAAAAAGAGAUAUGACUGAACAUUGAUGGUAUAAACUAUAUGAAACCUUCCACACCUCCCUCUACCCCCAACUAGUGAAUUUUCUUAGCCCUUUUGACUAUGCAGAUGAAGAGCUCAACUCUGAAGAUUUAGCCAGGUGAGUUUUUGCAAUAGUAUAUUGGAUGAAAAUGAAUUUUCACAUAAUUCUUAAUUCCUCUACAUGCAGUGUGAAUAUAGUCUGUGAAGAAAUGUAAAAACCACAUUAGGUUUAAGAUACUGUUCUUUAUUUGUUUGCAUUCUUCUACGUACAUUACAUCUUCAGCACAAGCUGGUAAGGUAUAUUAACUAUUUCAAGCACUUGACAAUCAUUUUUGAGUGUGGAUCCAGAGCUGCCCUUCUACAAACAGAACACCUCCCAUUUGCGGAAGGGACUGAGAUCUGUCAGACAUACCUACUGCAGGAGGGUGGAUGGGAGAGGUGGUCUUACUGAUUUUCUUCUGCAAGCCCCCCUUGUGUCUACCCCCUAGUUCUGAAGGGUCCCCGAACCUUCACUAGCAGAUUUUGGGGAGGUACAGGUGGCUGUGAGGGGACCCUCUUCUAAAAUGGCUCAGAGCAUCCUCUGGCUACGUCAAGUUCAGUGCAGUUUUUUGUAUGUGAUGGAUACAUUGAUGUAAGGCUGCUGAUACUUUGUUCUGCUAUCUUUACAAAUUGAAGAGUUACUUUCAAUGUAUAUAUAACUAGAUUUUGUUUCUAUGUGAGGAUAAAUCAUCUGAGCCUCACAAAUUUACACUUGCUUGCACCUUGCCCUACAAUCUAUCUAAUAUGGCAGCAAUUUAAUCAGUUCAGCUUCCACAUAAAUUACUCAAAAGCACGUAAAAAUGCAAUAGAAAUAAAACAUUACAGCAUGCAAGACUGCUCUGCAGCUAAAACGUUAACAUCUUCUGACUCUUUCAGACUGGUUUUAAAUGCUUAUGAACAAACAUGAAGCCCACCAGUGUGGACUUAUUUUGUCAUCAGUUUCAGGGUAGUUUAAAGCUGGCACAAAUAAUUUCCAAACUAGAAACAUCUGCUAAGGGUGGACGCACUAGCUAAAUUGUUCCUCUGUUGUUACACAAGACCUUUAGCACCACUGGUGUUUCACGUUUGUAAUAGGCAGUAGCAGCCCUUUACAGGUCUACCACCAGACUGGAACAAACUUGAUUGAGAAGUGUAUACAUCAACAAAGUGUUAACUACCAGUGCGUCAUUCCUUAAGGAUGUAGGGGUGCACAUUACCUCGCCCCUUUACCUGCAUUCUGUACAUAUGUAUAUCAUGUGCUUGCUUGGAUGCACAUCAAAAGCAUUUGUACCAAACAUAAGGUUUAAAAUACAGUACUUUCCUGGCUUUCCUUUGCUGCUAAACUCGGUUAAGUCAAGGGACAAGUCCUUUCCCUCCACAUCUCUCUACCUCUAUGCUGAUUUGGCAUUAAGUAGUGCUACCGUUCGGACACUGGUCACCAAGAGAAAAGCAGUGCAAUUGGCUUAAUUAGAAGAUAUGGUAGUGAACACUAGCUUUGAUAGUAUAGAGAAUAGGCUUGUUAUGACUCUUACAUUUGAAAAUGAAACCUUGGUAACAGGAAGUGUCUGGCUACCAAAUAGGCAGAAGCUGGUUAUUACCAUUCUGUCUUGCUGGGAAGCUUGCAGGGGCAUGUGGCUGUUCCGUGGUAGAGGCAGAAUGCCAACCUAGAUGGCUGUUUUGACUGAACCAAGCCAGGCAUUACAUGUAUUGAUUAGUUUCUUUUCUACAAAGUUGCAGGGAUGCUCUUUCGACUUUAUGUGCAAAACAGAUUUCAAAUAACCACCAGUAACACUCUGUGCCGAGCCCGAUAGGAAGGAAUGGAUGCUGAAGAGGGACAGUGUUUGGUAGAGUAUAUCAGGGUGCUUUCCAAAACGGGGUUUAAAAUCACGUCCAAACAGCAGUUUAAAAAAAUAAAUACGUAUACAAAUAUUAAAGAGGCCUGUUUUGGCCGAUACCCUGUUCACUAAGUUCUGUUGCAACCACUUCGUUGCUUAGUGCUGGUAUGACUUGCUUUGCUUCUUCCACUAUCCCAAUUAAAAAUCUCAUGUGUAAUGAUAGCAUUUAUUUAUGUGAUACCUUCUUUUCUCUCUCUUUCACAUAGGUGUUAUUUAUCCCAGAAACAAUAUCUCUUUCCGUUUUUGUCUCGUUACCUAUAAAUUCUUUUAAAAUUAUCCUAGAUAUUUUUCAAAUAUUCAGUAUUUUUUGAACGUCUGCCUCUUGUGGACACUACUCU